rnacentral:lncRNA from 1 species
AUUUAAGAUGACACAAUAAUAAAAAUUUCGUACCUGCUAACUGCUCAUCGAGAUAUGGGACAAGAUAGAGUCCACAAUGCGGCGAGCGGGAUGUUGCUACUUUUGAUUUUGGCAAAUUGAAGAACAAAGAAGACAAAAUGGAAGAGAACGUACUUUGGGGAAGGAAGCCAUGAGGAGAUUUACGACGUAAACUUCACGCCGUUUUGGACAUCGCGAGUCCGUGAUUGUGAGGAGUCCUUAGUCCUCACAGUGAAGAACGUACUCUAGACUGUGGAGGAGGAGGCCGUGAAGACCUUUACGGCGUAAACUUCACGCCUUUUGGAAUUGGAUGCCGUCUGUCCAUGACUGUGAGCUUGAGGAGUCAAUAGCUUUAACAUCAUUUUACUUAGGUUUGAAUAUAUAGAAGAAUUAUAAAUAAUAUAAUAUAAUAUAAAUUUUAUUUAGGUUUGAAUAUAUAAAAGAAUU